UUUUUUCAUUCUUUUCCUUUCCCUUCCUUCCUUUCUAUCUUUAUUUCUUUUUGACUGCACUCGUGGCAUAUGGAAGUUCCCAGGCCAGGAAUAGAUUUUGAGCUGCAGCUGCGACCUAUACCACAACUGCAGCAAUGCUGGGUCCUUAACCCACUGUGCCAGGCCAGGUAUUGAACUCAGACCUCCACAGCAACCCAAGCUGUUUCAGUCAGAUCCUUAACCCAUUGCACCACAGUGGGAACUCUGUAAGUUUUCCUUCUGAACCUAAAUGUUUCCAUAGGGAUUCAGCAGAUGUUCUUAGAUUUAUGCUAUAUUCAGAAAAACCCAUUAUUUCUUAAAUGAAAAAUUAUCUAAGUACACCAUAUAAACUCCAGAAAGAAGACACAUACACAUAAAAUUAUACAAGGUGGAAAUAAUGAGAAUAUCAUUUUUUAAAGAUUCAAUGUAUUCUGAGGGUAGAGAAGCAAAGCUGAUCAUUGCUAUAGUGAUUUCUGAUAAACCCACGAGGACUAAAACUGAAUGAACCAUCAGCCAUAGGAUAAGAGUUUAGGAAUGGUUCUAAAUGAUGUGAUGUAACUAUGGAAUUUUAAGAAGCAGAGAUAUUUCAGAUCUGUACAUUAAAAUCCCAAUCAGUGCCCUCCGAUAGGUUGGGACUGUGACUUCACAUGUGCACACUGUUGGUUGCCAGGGCAGCCAAAGAGAGAGAGGUGACCAUUCCUCAUAAACCCUACCUGGGGCUGUCCCAUCACCUUCCCUGCUCAGGUUGAAGCAGUGACAUCAUCUCUACCAUCCCCGAAUGUUUUUUGAACUCUGUUAAGUCUGCCUCUUCCUAUUAUUUCAACAGGAGUUAUCUAUGCAGUCUAACAACAACAAAAAAAGGUGGACGUGAUGAAAAAUGGACCUUAUCGGGUAUACUAAUCAAGAGAGAACGAUCUAGAUGUCAAUUGGAAUAAGAGCACCCAUUUACUGGAGGAAGACAUGGGGAGGAAGCUGUGAAAUACUUUGAAAAUAAAGUAGUAUGCAGACUAGCUCAGCAUCUCGCUCCCGAAACCCUGUCUUGCCCUCAACACAAGUCUUCAGACAUGGAAACAAAGAAAGUAAACUUAAGCUAGCCAAUGUAAAAACUGCUGAGUCGUGGGAACCAGUUAGCUAAACUGGCUGCAAGCUCUGAGCAGGUUUCUCAACCUUGAAACUAGUGACAUUUGGGGCUGGUUAAUUCUUGGCACUGGGUAGCUGUCCUAUACACUGUAGGAUAUUUAGUAACCCCUGCCCCCAGUCUCUACUGAUGCUAGUAGCACCUUCUCCCCAGUUUUGAUAGGCAAAAAUCUCUCUACACAUUGCCAGAUGUUCUCUGGGGGGGCAUCCUAGGGGGAUAAAACAGCCACCCAUUGAAAACUAUUGCUUAUCCUUUAAGAAGUGUCUCUCCAAGUCAGAUAAAGUUUGGGGAGGUGCCUUAAGACUAUUAAUAAUAUUUUCUGGUACAAUGCCAUUGAACCACUGAAUGAAAUGAUCCCAUUUCUGCUUCAUUUGAUGCUUAGGACUCCCAGUGUAGGGUAUGUGUGUGUGUGUAAGGCUAUGUAGGGUUGUUCUAUAGAAAAAUAUGUUUGAAAAAUAUUCCUCCAAAGAUUAAUUACAUUAAAAGAAUAUAUUCAUAAAAGAGAAAAAAUGAAGAAAAAUAUCCUAUUUUCAUACUUGAGAGUAUACAUUAGUUUAACUCCCUUUAUUUUUCUCUCUUAUGAAGAGAUUCCAAGAAACAUAAUUGCAAAUACAGCUACAAGUUAAUUAUACUAUUAUAAAUUACAUCCUUUUACUACUCUCUGGGGAGCACUAAGAAUUUUAGGGUGAGUAGAUGGGUAUAAAUGUUCAUGUUGUAGUCAAUACAUAAUUUAUAUCAUUGAGCUACCAUUAAAUAUAAUGAAUUCCCACACUGUGUCGUGGAAAUAAUCAAGAAUAGAACUAUUUUUCCUUCAGAAUUCCUAAGCAGCACUUAAGUUUCAACACUGGUAGCACUGUGUACUGAUGAAACAGGUUUUAUGUGAUAGACUCAAUGCCUGGGGCAGGCAGAUAGAUGCACUUAACAGAGUCAGAAAAAAAGCACGCAGAGAAAACGUAAUUGGCCCCAGAUCUACAAAUCAAGUCUAUGUCUGAAGAAAGAAAGAAAGAAAGAAAGAAAGAAAGAAAGAAAGAAAGAAAGAAAGAAAGGAAGGAAGGGAGGAAAAGAAAGAAAGGGUGGUUAAAAAAAGUAAGACAUCAAGACCUUCAGAUGUUUUAAAUUAUUAUUUUAUAAAUCACAUUUCUUUCAGACAAAUGAGGUCUAUGUACUGUAACUCUGGUGGACACAUGUCUGGAGGUUUAAAAUAAGGAAGAAAGAAGGAAAAAACACAUGUAGCUUUAAGUUGUAUCUUCAUGUAUCGUCUCAUUUAAUCCUUACACUAUCCCUGGGAAGUAGGUGUUACUGACCCAUUUUAAAAAUGAGGAAACUAGAGGCCCAUUAACUAACCUGCCCGAUUGCUUUACUGCCAAGCAAUAAAGACACCAUAGCUUUGUCAAAUGUCAAGGCCCUCCUCUUACCCAGAAGCCACACAAUCUAGCCUCUCUGGCCAAAAUACCUACUUUUAUUUCCAGAAUGAACUACCCUCUUCAAUUUUUUUCAGGGUCUGCAAUUCGGUCAAUUAAGAAUUCAUUUAAGUGAACAAAUAGCCUCUCUUAAAACUCCAAAUACUCUAGGUUAAAUGUUCAUAAAUCACGUAUAGCACAUGAUCAGCAUGAUAAUCAUGUGCAAACGUUAGCACAAAUAAGUGGAAGCAGAUAAGCAUGUUUUCGGAAUUUAGAUUUGAGUCCUGGUUCUUCGAUAUACUAGCUGUUUAUACUGGAGAACAUCACUUAGCUUGGUGAAGACUUACAUGCCUUAUUAUGAGAUAAACAGAUGCUUAUGAACCAGUUCCUAGACACCUAGGAUAAUUUUAUAGGAAAUCAUGCAUCACAGAUUCUAAAUAACUGAUUUACAAAUAUUAGAAUAUAACCUAACAUUAAACACAUGACAAAUAUUUAAUGCCCAGCUUGUAUUAUUAGUGGGAUAACCUGUAUGCAGGUGCAUAUGUGUGUGUGUGUGUGUGUGUGUGUGUACAUCUACAUAUAAUUUUAUAGUAUAUUUAUUUUGAUUGUUCUGUUCAUUUAUUUUGAUUUGUUUUUUGCUUCAAGUAUGAAACACAACUGUUACAUCAUGGCAUACUUAUAAAUAAGAAACAAGGGACACUUUUCAACAAAGAUGUUAUAGAGCAAAAGGCAGUUUCUUCUGUCAUGUACUGCCCACAAUGACACACAUGACAGAUAAAUGAAUGUGAAUUCUUUACAUAGAAGUCUUUGUCUAAUCAAUGAACACUGUGGACUCUCCUCAUCCAUAAUGCUUCAGCCUUAGAUCUAUUUAUUUUCUGCAAAUAGGCCUAAACACUGCAAAUGGAAUACACUAUAGGACUCCCUCAAUUCAUUUAUUUUUUCAUUCAUCUUCAUAAAAAAAUACAGCAAAGAAAUUGCAACAGUUCUUCAUGUGCUACCUACCUGCCAGGGGCUCCAACUAACUAGUGAAGAUUAACUAAUAUUUGGAGAAAGCCACUUGAGGGCUGAAAUAUCUGCUGCGUUAUGAAAUCUACACAUUAUCCCUAUGGAAAUGCAUUGCUUGGUAGUUCUUCAUCUGUAUGCACGAGACAGUCAGAGGCAACGUUCUGCCCAAGCUAAACCAACAGCCAAUAGAAUCAAGUCAGCACUUCCAGCCACGUCCAACCAUCCAGAAAGCCAGCGCUAAGUGCUGAGAGUUCUGACAUAUUUUGUGUUUAUCUUCCAUUUACAAAUGCUCCAAAUCAAACAGCAACAGAUAUUUUUAAAAAUAGCCUCAUUUUUGAAGCAACCACUGGGUAAACCCCUUGGAAUAAAAAAGCAACCACUAAGCAAACCUCUUGGAAUAAAAGUCAAGGACAGGCAGCUGAUGACAAAACUAACCAAGGUUUGGUUAAAGGAAUUGGGAGCAAAAGAGGAAGAACCUGGGAUAAAUUUCAAUUUCUCUCUGUAUUUAGAUGGUUGUAUCCUGAACCAUGAAGUUGUGUUGCAACAGCUCAGUGGAUGCAGAGGUUUGGGUGAGGCUGUGGGGUGGGGUGAUGAUUCUUCCUGAAGGAGUGGGGAAUAGGUGGGCUGUGUCAUUAAUACUACAUUGUUCAUAAGCCCAACAAAGAACAGGCUUGAAAUGGCAAGGACCUCAUAGGUUUACAAACGACCUUAACAGCUUCCAUGGUUGUAAGGUUUCCUGCUGGUGUUGCAACAAAUUACCACAAACUUAGGAGGAACAACCC
rnacentral:lncRNA from 1 species